rnacentral:misc_RNA from 1 species
ACAGUAUUGCCUGGAAUUGUCGAAGCUGAUGUAUCUGCUAAAUCAGGCCGGGAAAAGGCAAUAGACUGCCCAGCAUUUAGCUGAGCCUUUCCUCCUGGAAUGACCUUUCUCUCCUCUCCUACAUUCGAGCCAUCAUUUCCACCAGUUUUCCCUUCUUCAGAAACGUGGUAAUUCUUCUUCUGAUGUGCUGCUUGGGCAACUGCAGUAGCUGCAAUGAAGUGAAACCCAUGCCUUGCCGCCUCUGGGACACUUUGCAAAAAAGCAUGAUUUUGUGCAAUUGAUGAAAUAUCAAGGCUUGGAGCAUUAGUGGCUCCAUUAAUGGGGGCAAAUGACAUGGCAAAAGCCUGAGAAGUUUCAACCCCGACCUUAGAGCCCUGUGGCUGUGACUGCUGCUGUUUCUUUUCACCAGGAUUGCCACUUGCAGUAGUGGCACCACCCACUGUUGGUGGAGUCAUCAAAGCAAAGUUUGGUGGGUGUAUGGGCAUUGCAAAAUUCUGACCAUAAAUACUCAUAUUUGCACGAGAGACUCGACUAUCA